rnacentral:snRNA from 1 species
AAAUGUGAAGAUAGUCUCACCCAAUAUCUUUCACCUAAGUGUGGAUUUGGCUAAUCUGUAUGGCUGGGCAGAUGUCCUCUUUCUUCCUCCAUUACUACUCCAUGUGCAUCUCUUCUGAAGCUGAGUGUGUGCUGGGAACAGGGACUUUCCCCCACAAGAAGGGACCAUUUUUCCAUCAAGGGCUUUAGAGUGGCCAAGCACCUUUGCUAGAACCUCCAAAACAAGCUUUCAAUGUCCAUCUGUAGCAGAACCACAGGAUAGUCAAGUUUUUUNNN